rnacentral:rRNA from 1 species
GACGAACGCUGGCGGCGUGCUUAACACAUGCAAGUCGAACGAAGAGCGAUGGAAGCUUGCUUCUAUCAAUCUUAGUGGCGAACGGGUGAGUAACGCGUAAUCAACCUGCCCUUCAGAGGGGGACAACAGUUGGAAACGACUGCUAAUACCGCAUACGAUCUGACCUCGGCAUCGAGGAUAGAUGAAAGGUGGCCUCUAUUUAUAAGCUAUCACUGAAGGAGGGGAUUGCGUCUGAUUAGCUAGUGGGAGGGGUAACGGCCCACCAAGGCGAUGAUCAGUAGCCGGUCUGAGAGGAUGAACAGCAACAUGGGGACUGGGACGCGGCCCAGACUCCUACGGGAGGCAGCAGUGGGGAAUCUUCCGCAAUGGACGAAAGUCUGACGGAGCAACGCCGCGUGAGUGAUGACGGCCUUCGGGUUGUAAAGCUCUGUUGAUCGGGACGAAAGGCCUUCUUGCGAAUAGUUAGAAGGAUUGACGGUACCGGAAGAGAAAGCCACGGCUAACUACGUG